rnacentral:rRNA from 1 species
CCUACGGGUGGCAGCAGUCGAGAAUCAUUCACAAUGGGGGAAACCCUGAUCGUGCGACGCCGCGUGAGGGAAUAAAGGUCUUCGGAUUGUAAACCUCUGUCAUCAGGGAGCAAAUUAAAACACUAGUGCCACAAGAGGGAGAGACGGCUAACACUGUGCCAGCAGCCGCGGUAAUACAGAGGUCGGAAGCGUUGUUCGGAAUCACUUGGCGUGAAGCGUGCGGGGGCUGGUGCGUCAGUCGUGUGGGAAAAGCGCGGGCUGAACCCCCGGAGGGCCCAUGAUACUGCGGGACUAGAGUAAUGGAGGGGGAUGCGGAAUGCGCGGUGUAGCAGUGAAAUGCGUAGAUAUCGAGAGGAACACUGGUGGCGAAGGCGGGUUCCCGGCCACUAACUGACGCUGAGGCACGAAGGCGAGGGGAGCGAAAGGGAUUAGAUACCCUGGUAGUC